rnacentral:rRNA from 1 species
GGCGNUCAGGAAAGUCUGGAGUAAAAGGCUAUGGCUCAACCAUAGUGUGCUNUGGAAACUGUCUGACUCGAGUGCAGAAGGGGAGAGUGGAAUUCCAUGUGUAGCGGUGAAAUGCGUAGAUAUAUGGAGGANCACCAGUGGCGAAAGCGGCUCUCUGGUCUGUCACUGACGCUGAGGCUCGAAAGCGUGGGUAGCGAACAGGAUUAGAUACCCUGGUAGUCCACGCCGUAAACGAUGAGUGCUAGGUGUUAGGCCCUUUCCGGGGCUUAGUGCCGGAGCUAACGCAAUAAGCACUCCGCCUGGGGAGUACGACCGCAGGGUUGAAACUCUAAGGAAUUGACGGGGGCCCGCACAAGCGGUGGAGCAUGUGGUUUAAUUCGAAGCAACGCGAAGAACCUUACCAGGUCUUGACAUCCCGAUGCUAUUCUUAGAGAUAGGAAGUUACUUCGGUACAUCGGAGACAGGUGGUGCAUGGUUGUCGUCAGCUCGUGUCGUGAGAUGUUGGGUUAAGUCCCGCAACGAGCGCAACCCUUAUUGUUAGUUGCCAUCAUUAAGUUGGGCACUCUAGCGAGACUGCCGGUAAUAAACCGGAGGAAGGUGGGGAUGACGUCAAAUCAUCAUGCCCCUUAUGACCUGGGCUACACACGUGCUACAAUGGUCGGUACAACGAGUUGCGAGCCGGUGACGGCAAGCUAAUCUCUGAAAGCCGAUCUCAGUUCGGAUUGGAGGCUGCAACUCGCCUCCAUGAAGUCGGAAUCGCUAGUAAUCGCGGAUCAGCACGCCGCGGUGAAUACGUUCCCGGGCCUUGUACACACCGCCCGUCACACCACGAGAGUUUGUAACACCCGAAGUCGGUGAGGUAACCUUUUAGGGGCCAGCCGCC